ensembl:lncRNA
CAUAUUUCAGCUCCCUACCAUAAACCAUUGCUCUAGAACAAAUAUCCAAGGCAAAAAUAAAAGUUGGCCCUUUGCACUUCAAGCCUUAGUGCCACAGGCUUUGAAAACCUGCUGCAUCAGCCAGGGCCUCGCUUGGGCCUUGCUCAGAAAACAGUUGAACUUUUGUCCUCCCACUGGGAAUGUACGUGGCAAGAUGUGCUUUGCAGCAGUGUAAAGAACUGGGCUGUUCUCUGGAUGCAAUAUGAUAUAAAGAAAAAUCAAGAACGACAGUAGAAACACUCUGUGCUCAAAGUAGGACAGCAUGCCACACCCCGGGAGAAAAACACAGAAGUGUGCGUGCAGCAUAUCUGUGAGGCUGACUGCAAUUUCUCCCAUGCUGUAGGCACGCCAAACCUAGCAAGUCGCCCUGGGAACCACUGCCCGCGGCUGCUGCCGACUAUCGCCAGCCAUCAAAUUGGCAGCAUUUGGCAUCUGCCAGUGAGAGAAGCUGCUAGAUCAAGUGCUGUCGGUUGGACCGUGAGCUUGCUGAGGACUGGUGAGCACUUAGGAAGGGGAACACACAGCUGUGCAGCUGUGGUCAUAAGCUCCUGAUGCAACUAGUGCUCCACAAGCAGUUGAUUGCAAAGGAAGAAAUGCGCUACUGCCUUGAUGAAGAAAUGCGCUACUGCCUUGAUGAUGCAGCCUCCUGUUCCCAAGUAAGUAAUUUCUAUUCCAGCUGCUAAGUAGCCUUUAAAAGAGCUACAAUAUAUAUAUAAAAAAAGAGUAUGUCAUUCUCUCUUUUCAAAUUUUCCUUCUAUUAGAGAAGGUGAAGGUUCUUGAAUGUUGCUUAGGAUUUAAAGUUUUAAAUAGUAGGGGUUGUGGCCUGUGAAAAUGGAGCUGGAAGAUAGUUUUGGGAUUUCCAGGUACAGGCUCAUGAAGGUUAGAGGCGUUCUGAAAGUUAGGAUGCACAGCAGCUGCUGAGCUGACCCACUGCUCCUACCACCCACCGAGAAGCACUAGUGUCAGCGCUGAGAGUUGCCAGGAGAUAUAUAUUUUGGAACCUUGGUAGCGACUCUUUCAUGAUAUGCCACUUGCAGAUGAUAUACAGAGCAGCACACAGUUCAUCUAUUUGGUGAAAAUAUUAACUGCCAACCUUACGUUUGAUUCAAUCCUCUUUUGAUGCAUGAGGUGGCUGGCAGGACGCUGCAGCCAAAUGCUGCAAGCAGGGUCGGGGUUGGACCAGGGGGAGAGUGCAAAGCUUUCACAGCCUCACUGUAGGGUCAGGCCUGUGGGACUUUUCUGGUGCCUUCCCCUGCCCGACCAGUUGUACAUCGCCUAAACCAGAGGCUGCUGGCACAAAGGAUUGCAGAUUUCCUAGGACACCGGCAAAAUGGGUGCAAUUAGGUGGUGAAAAUGAGAUAUGGCAGUCUAAAGUUUCCAGCCUCAGCCAUUGCAACAGCUCCUCUUGUAACAACGAGUUAAAAGCUUAACCUGACUGUAAAACAAGGAUAAUAAUGUUCAUUUCUCAAGAACAUUAUUGUGAAUGCAAGUCUGGACCAGCGUAGGAAAAUCAACUCUAAGCAUUGCAUUAAUAAUGAUUAAGCCUGAUGCUAAUCCUGCCUAAAUUUCCACAUCACUGUCAUUUUUGAGUUGAAGCAGUAUUACUUCUUGGGUAUUAAUCUUCCAUUUUUCUUGCCUCUUGGCUUGGCUUUUUCUACACCCUCUAUUACAGAGCCUAAAUUUAAUGCAUGCUAAGCAGUUGUAUCCUUUAUUUCUCCAUUUCUUCAGCAAAAUUUCUCGUCGUUACAGUGUCAUUCUUUGGGAGAAAAACCAUUAGGUGCACUGAAGUUCUUCAGCCGGUGGUCGAAUCUGAAGUUACCUGACAACUUUAAGUAGCUUUGGAUACGAGGUAGAGUCUGAGGCAGAAAUACACCUUGACAUCAUACUUCCAAUAAGAGUGAAAUCUCAGCAGAGGAAAGAAUUUAGCCCUCUAAGUUGGAAAGUACUGUACAUUUUACUAGGAAUGAUACAAUUGGAUAUUCUUUGAAGUCCUUGCGUUGUAGGAGUAUAGGUGAAUGACAGAUAAGAAAUGUUGAGGUGUUGUUUUCUCUUCUGCCUCACUUGGCAAAGCCUUUUCACCAGCACUAAGGUGCUACCUCUCUCCAUGUAAAUACAAAAAUGUCUUCAUCAUAGAUUAGUCAUAAGGGAAGAAGUGAAGUCAGAGUAGAGUAUGCCAGCACACCUGAAAUAGCAUAGUAAUAUAGGGGAGAAAAACAAUAAAUAUCAACUGAAUAAUCA